UGUCCCAUGGCCAAGUUGGUUAAGGCAUCCGACUGUUAACAAUUGAAGCAGCAAAGCGUCCUUUACGGGUCAUCGGAAGAUCGACGGUUCGACCCCGUCUGGGACAG
rfam:Cryptococcus bestiolae CBS 10118 unplaced genomic scaffold supercont1.8, whole genome shotgun sequence.